GGGAAUGGCGGCGUCUACCAUGCAGUCGAGCGCUCCUUCCCAGUGUUGCUGGGAGGAUUGAUGAUCAAGGGGUGACUUGCCCUUCUCUGAUCUGCCCUCCUGUCUGGGAUGGGGUAGUACCGCUGGGUCUAUUACCGGAAAUGACUUCGGGAUGAAUGUCCUGCCCGCGUUGGAUUUUCGGUGCGGGGUGAUCCCGCCUCCUAUCACCUUGUUGGUGGGGUAAUGUCCUACCGAGGAUCCGACGGCUGGCGGCCUGAGAGGGCGACCACUCCUACUGGGACUGAAACACGGCAAUCACUCCUACGGGAGGCAACCCUGAUCUAUAUUGCCCACUGGACUCAUGCCUGAUGCAGCGACGCCGCGUGCUUUCUGACGGCCUUCGGGUUGUAAACCUCUUUCACCAAUGACCAACCACAUCUGAGCCUACUGCCAGAAUAAUCCCCAGGCAACUAUCUUCCUUCAGCCUUGCUGAUACGUAAGGUGCCAUCGUUGUCCCGAAUUACUGGGCGUGAAAACCUCGGGCUCGGUUUGUCGCGUGCCUUGUGAAAUCCCGCACCUCAACUGCGGGCUUGUGAGCGAUAUUCCCAGACUCGAGUACUGCUUGGGAGACUGUAAUUCCUGGUGUAGCGGUGAAAUGCGCUCAUAUCAGGAGGAACACCGGUGGCGAGCGUCGGGUCUCUGGAGCAUAACUGAAGACCGAAAGCGCGCGUAGCGAACAAGAAUAGAUACACUGCUGGUCCACGCCGUAUCCGUGGCGCGCUAGGUGUGUGUUUCCUUCCGCGGGAUCCGUGCCGUAGCCAGAUCAUUACUCGCCCCACCCUGACGAGUACGCCCGCAAGGCUAAGACUAUGUGGAUUUGAUCGGAGCCCGCCCAGAGGCUUAGCAUGUGUAUACAUUCGAUGACACGUCCAGAAACUUACCUGCGUCUUGACGUGUACCGGAGAACUGCGCAGAUGUGCUUUCCUGCUGCUGCCCGUUAUACGAGUGGUUGCAUGGCUCUCGUCACGCUCGUGUCCCGACGAUCCUUGGGUUAACAUCCUUCACUAGCGCACUCCCA
rnacentral:rRNA from 1 species